CUUAUUAGGAGUCGGCUGUUCACUUUCUCUGAGUCUGUCACUGCGGAAAGUAUCCUCCACAGAUGGGUCCGGCAGCACCAUGUCAGGAUCACUGAGCAUGCUCAGACCGUCCAGGCUGAGGGGCUCGAUGCGCAGCUCGUCCUCCAACGGGAAGCCUCCCUCUGAGUCAAAACAUUCAGGCACUGUGGAAAGUGCACUGCUGAUGUCCUUUGACAGACUGGGGUUGGAGUCAUCUGUGAGAGAGAAACAGAUGAUGGAUGCUAAAAACGGAGGAAAUAUGUCACACUUGGAUAAAUGGUGGAUGGACAGUUGAAAGCAACAAAACAUCAUCAUCAGGAGCACACAAGAAAAAGCUGUGCUACACCCACCCUGUGAGUUGCUGCCGAUGCCUAGAUGCAUCAUGGCAGCUGGCAGAUUUCCGGUGCUGCUGCCCCCACUGAGGUUCGGGUAUCCUCCAUUGUCAUCAGGGUCCAGCGGGGUGGACAGGGGUGACGGGAAGUGCAGGUUGCUGAGGUCGGGCAGGGAGCCGCCGGUAUUUAACAAGCCCUGGUAGUGGGACAGACCUGGGUUCUGCUCCGGAGAUGGGAAUAUACUGCA